rnacentral:tRNA from 1 species
CAGGGAGACAACAAAAUGUUUAAUAUUAUUAUUUUGUCACCUUAGGUCGAUCGGUAUCUCACGUUUUUAAUUUAUUAAGAAUUUCAUUUCCUAAGUUUUUUCUAGGUCACACCCAUUAUUUUUCCUGGGCCAUUAGCUCAGGUGGUUAGAGCGCACCCCUGAUAAGGGUGAGGUCCCUGGUUCAAGUCCAGGAUGGCCCAUAUCUCUAUGUUGGGGGUAUAGCUCAGUUGGUAGAGCGCCUGCUUUGCAAGCAGGAUGUCAGCGGUUCGAGUCCGCUUACCUCCACUGAUUACCACCUCUUCCAUAAUCUAUGAAAAGGAAAUGUUUUGAGUAGUGAUCGAAUUCUGAACGAAUCUAGCUUCCUAAUGAAAUCAUCAUUAAGAUGCUGGACUCAUUGAAUUAUUUUCAUUGUUUUCAGAGAACCUUGACAACUGCAUAGAUUAUUUUAAAGACAAUAAGCAUCUUUAAUGAUGCAGAUUUAUUAUUUGUGCGAAUGCAUUAAUAACAAUUCUUUAAGCUGAUGCUUCAA